CCAAUUGUCAAAUCUCGCCGGGCGGCUCCAAACCUCGAUUUCCACCUCCAUCGGUGAGAGAAAUGCCGGAAAACAGUGGAAACAGUGCAGGACGGAAUCUUCAAAGUUAGUACCAUUUCGAUUUGUCAUUCGUUGUGUUAUUUCUGAACCAUUUUAGGGUGGACUUCGCAAAGCCGGCUCCGGGCACAUGUCACGGGGGUUAACAGUUACCAAUAUCAUCGAACCAGGGUAGUUUGGAAUACCAGACAGCGUCGUUGGCUCCCCCUGUGACGGUGUUGCACUUCUCCGAGGGUGUUGGAGUCAGCAGCAGUUGUAGGUUGCAUAAAAAUGAGAGAAAAGCACUUAGUAUACUGAUAUCCUGGAGCAGAGGGAUAACAGGGUGUACGGUGGAAUUUCGGAAGAAACGGUGUGUGGGAUACGACUUACCCACUGAAUGACAGUCAGACGGUCCUGUUUGGUGGCAAUAAAGCUGCACAGAACAAACAAAACUGUACGGAACAGAAUCUUCCACCACUGGCAGACCAGGUUAGAUCUAUCGGUUAUGGUGGAAUCGCGGAAAUAUAGGUCAUAAACAACGGGUGAAAUUACUUUCACAACGGU